GAUGAACGCUGGCGGCGUGCCUAAUACAUGCAAGUCGAGCGAACAGACGAGGAGCUUGCUCCUCUGACGUUAGCGGCGGACGGGUGAGUAACACGUGGAUAACCUACCUAUAAGACUGGGAUAACUUCGGGAAACCGGAGCUAAUACCGGAUAAUAUAUUGAACCGCAUGGUUCAAUAGUGAAAGACGGUUUUGCUGUCACUUAUAGAUGGAUCCGCGCCGCAUUAGCUAGUUGGUAAGGUAACGGCUUACCAAGGCAACGAUGCGUAUCCGACCUGAGAGGGUGAUCGGCCACACUGGAGCUGAGACACGGUCCAGACUCCUACGGGAGGCAGCAGUAGGGAAUCUUCCGCAAUGGGCGAAAGCUUGACGGAGCAACGCCGCGUGAGUGAUGAAGGUCUUCGGAUCGUAAAACUCUGUUAUUAGGGAAGAACAAAUGUGUAAGUAACUAUGCACGUCUUGACGGUACCUAAUCAGAAAGCCACGGCUAACUACGUG
rnacentral:rRNA from 1 species